UAUUUUUCAAGAAAGAACCAAGUUUUGCUUAAUGGAGUACCGAUAAGUGGUUUUUUUCAUCGAAUUUUUUAAAGCAAAAUAGAAAAAUUAGUUAUGACCAAAGGUAAAAAUAUGUUACAAAUACUGCAGAUGCUGGAGGUUCAAAAAAAUUUGUAGGGUUUAGGUCUGGCGAUUGAGAUGGCCACACCAUUACAUUUAUUUUUUCAUCGGAUAGCCACCUCUUAACAAAUUGAGAAGCAUGUUUUGGAUCGUUGUUAUGCUGAAAUAUGGCUGUUACUGGAAUGACUUCAUCCAUAUAUCCUCCUGGGACCCGGACAUGUUUUUGUUAAGUUAGGGUUGUAAGGCUUUUAAAUAUAAUAAAAAAUACAUAAAUAAACAUUGUUUACUAAUAA